rnacentral:rRNA from 1 species
AGCAGCCGCGGUAAUUCCAGCUCCAAUAGCGUAUAUUAAAGUUGUUGCAGUUAAAAAGCUCGUAGUUGAAUUUCGGGGUUAGCAGGUCGGUCGUGCCAUCGGUAUGAACUGGUCUCGCUGAUCCCUCCCUCUUGACGAACUGUGAUGCCAUUAAUUUGGUGUCGCAGGGAAUCAGGACUGUUACUUUGAAAAAUUAGAGUGUUUAAAGCAGGCUCACGCUUGAAUACAUUAGCAUGGAAUAAUGAAAUAGGACGUUUGAUCCUAUUUUGUUGGUUUCUAGGAUUGACGUAAUGAUUAAUAGGGAUAGUUGGGGGCAUUAGUAUUCAAUUGUCAGAGGUGAAAUUCUUGGAUUUUAUUGAAGACUAACUACUGCGAAAGCAUUUGCCAAGGAUGUUUUCAUUAAUCAAGAACGAAAGUUAGGGGAUCGAAGACGAUCAGAUACCGUCGUAGUCUUAACCAUAAACUAUGCCGACUAGGGAUCGGAUGAUGUUAAUUUUUUAAUGACUCAUUC